rnacentral:rRNA from 1 species
CAGCCGCCGCGGUAAUACGAAGGGUGCAAGCGUUACUCGGAAUUACUGGGCGUAAAGCGUGCGUAGGUGGUGGUUUAAGUCCGUUGUGAAAGCCCUGGGCUCAACCUGGGAAUUGCAGUGGAUACUGGGUCACUAGAGUGUGGUAGAGGAUAGUGGAAUUUCCGGUGUAGCAGCGAAAUGCGUAGAGAUCGGAAGGAACAUCUGUGGCGAAGGCGACUAUCUGGGCCAACACUGACACUGAGGCACGAAAGCGUGGGGAGCAAACAGGAUUAGAUACCCGCGUAGUCCCUGUCUCUUAUAC